rnacentral:rRNA from 1 species
UACAGAGGGUGCAAGCGUUAAUCGGAAUUACUGGGCGUAAAGCGCACGUAGGUGGCUGGGUAAGUUGGAUGUGAAAUCCCCGGGCUUAACUUGGGAAUUGCAUUCAAGACUGCCUUGCUAGAGUGUGGAAGAGGGAAGCGGAAUUCCAGGUGUAGCGGUGAAAUGCGUAGAUAUCUGGAGGAACAUCAGUGGCGAAGGCGGCUUCCUGGUCCAACACUGAC